rnacentral:misc_RNA from 1 species
GAUGAAGAACGUAGCGAAAUGCGAUAAGCAGUGUGAAUUGCAGAAUUCAGUGAAUCAUCGAAUCUUUGAACGCACAUUGCGCCCCUUGGUAUCCCGAGGGGCAUGCCUGUUCGAGCGUCAUUUCACCACUCAAGCCUGGCUUGGUGUUGGGCGACGUCCUCUUUGGGGACGCGCCUCGAAACGCUCGGCGGCGUGGCACCGGCUUUAAGCGUAGCAGAAUCUUUCGCUUUGGAAGUCGGGGCCCCGUCUGCCGGAAGACCUGCUCGCAAGGUUGACCUCGGAUCAGGCAGGGAUACCCGCUGAACUUAAGCAUAUCAAUAAGCGGAGGA